CCCCUCUCAGGAUUGUACCUGGUGAGUUUCCAGUUCUCUACCAGGCUCAGCUAUGAGAAGGAGAGUCAGGCAGAGGUCUGUCCAUUCCACUCCUAGUUUGGGCAGUAGCUAGCAAGUGGAAGGCAAUCUGCUACAAAG